UACGGAGGGUGCAAGCGUUAAUCGGAAUUACUGGGCGUAAAGCGCACGUAGGUGGUUUGUUAAGCUAGCUGUGAAAUCCCCGGGCUCAACCUGGGCACUGCAGUUAGAACUGGCAGGCUAGAGUAGGGUAGAGGGGUGUGGAAUUCCAGGUGUAGCGGUGAAAUGCGUAGAUAUCUGGAGGAACAUCAGUGGCGAAGGCGACACCCUGGACUCAUACUGACACUGAGGUGCGAAAGCGUGGGGAGCAAACAGG
rnacentral:rRNA from 1 species